AACCUGUUCUCAAGGAAAAGAGCUAAGGUAGGCUGCCAGAUAAAAUGCUGAGGUGAUCCAGAAUUACUCCCGAACUCUACCAGCUGAAAUCCUCCUCAACUCACAUCAGACAAGACGGCCCUGCCACUUACCUGUCAGAUCACUUUGGGCAGUUUACAGGAGAGAAGAUGCAGCCUGGGAGAGAUGCAGCAGGUGUCUGAGGCCACACAGCAAGUCACCCAGGGCCAGGAUCUGAAGCUGGGUCUCUCCAGCUCCACUGCCUGGGCACUUUCUCCUCCACAGCGACCUUCAGGUCAUCAUGAGGAGCCUUUCGGACUAAAGCUAGAGAGCUGGGAUUCCAACAGUUCAGCAACCCAUGACUUCUCCAUGGCAGCUGCUGCCUGACCACCUAGUGCCUUUCCACUAAGAUUGUUCCUUCCCUCUCCUGAAGAUUAUCCUCCUGCCCCUCUCUCCCAAACAUCUGCGGUGUGCACCUGCUGCCCAAAGUUGAACUUUUUUUUGUUAGAGACAGGGCCUCACUGUGUCAUCCAGGCUGGAGUGCAGUGGCGUGAUCAUAGCUCACUGCAGCCUCCAACUCCUGGGCUCAAGUGACCCUCUCACCUCAGCUUCCUGAGUAGCUGGGACUACAGGCAUGCACCACCACGCCUGGCUAAUUUUUAAAUUUUUUGCAGAGACAGGGUCUAGCUAUGUUGCCCACCCUGGUCUUGAACUCCUGGGCUCAAGCAAUCUGUCUGCCUUGGUCUCCCAGCUCGCUGGGAUUACAGGCAUGAAUCACCAUGCCCGGUCCUCCAAAGUUGAACUUUUGAGACUCAGUUUCCUUCUUGGUAAAUUCAGGCUCCUAGGUGCUACCUCCUCAGAGACAUCCUCCUUGACCACAUCACAUGACCUCUCGCAGAGGCCAGAUUCUUUAAUGUAUUCAUUUGUCUAUUAUCAUGUUUCCCCAGUAGAAGUUGCACAAACGGCA
rnacentral:lncRNA from 1 species